rnacentral:rRNA from 1 species
GACAGAGGGUGCAAACGUUGUUCGGAAUUACUGGGCGUAAAGCGCGUGUAGGCGGCUCGGUAAGUCAGGUGUGAAAGCCCUGGGCUCAACCCAGGAAGUGCACUUGAAACUACCAAGCUUGAGUUCUGGAGAGGAAGGCGGAAUUCUCGGUGUAGAGGUGAAAUUCGUAGAUAUCGAGAGGAACACCGGUGGCGAAGGCGGCCUUCUGGACAGCAACUGACGCUGAGACGCGAAAGCGUGGGGAGCAAACAGG